AUUGAACGCUGGCGGCAUGCUUUACACAUGCAAGUCGAACGGUAACAGGCCUUCGGGUGCUGACGAGUGGCGAACGGGUGCGUAAUGCAUCGGAACGUACCCAGAGGUGGGGGAUAACGCAGCGAAAGCUGUGCUAAUACCGCAUGUGAUCUGAGGAUGAAAGCGGGGGACCGAGCAGCAAUGUUUGGCCUCGCGCCUUUGGAGCGGCCGAUGUCGGAUUAGCUAGUUGGUGGGGUAAAGGCCUACCAAGGCGACGAUCCGUAGCUGGUCUGAGAGGACGACCAGCCGCACUGGGACUGAGACACGGCCCAGACUCCUACGGGAGGCAGCAGUGGGGAAUUUUGGACAAUGGGCGCAAGCCUGAUCCAGCAAUGCCGCGUGCGGGAAGAAGGCCUUCGGGUUGUAAACCGCUUUUGGCAGGAACGAAACGGUGUCCGCUAAUACCGGGCGCUAAUGACGGUACCUGCAGAAUAAGCACCGGCUAACUACGUG
rnacentral:rRNA from 1 species